AUUUAACUCUGUCCUUCUGUUUAGUAACG
rnacentral:piRNA from 1 species